rnacentral:rRNA from 1 species
ACUCCUACGGGAGGCAGCAGUAGGGAAUCUUCCACAAUGGGCGCAAGCCUGAUGGAGCAACACCGCGUGAGUGAAGAAGGGUUUCGGCUCGUAAAGCUCUGUUGUUAAAGAAGAACACGUAUGAGAGUAACUGUUCAUACGUUGACGGUAUUUAACCAGAAAGUCACGGCUAACUACGUGCCAGCAGCCGCGGUAAUACGUAGGUGGCAAGCGUUAUCCGGAUUUAUUGGGCGUAAAGAGAGUGCAGGCGGUUUUUCUAAGUCUGAUGUGAAAGCCUUCGGCUUAACCGGAGAAGUGCAUCGGAAACUGGAUAACUUGAGUGCAGAAGAGGUAGUGGAACUCCAUGUGUAGCGGUGGAAUGCGUAGAUAUAUGGAAGAACACCAGUGGCGAAGGCGGCUACCUGGUCUGCAACUGACGCUGAGACUCGAAAGCAUGGGUAGCGAACAGGAUUAGAUACCCCUGGUAGGAUAGCG